rnacentral:rRNA from 1 species
UACGUAGGGUGCAAGCGUUAAUCGGAAUUACUGGGCGUAAAGCGUGCGCAGGCGGUUCGGAAAGAGAGGUGUGAAAUCCCAGGGCUUAACCUUGGAACUGCACUUCUAACUACCGGGCUAGAGUACGUCAGAGGGGGGUAGAAUUCCACGUGUAGCAGUGAAAUGCGUAGAGAUGUGGAGGAAUACCGAUGGCGAAGGCAGCCCCCUGGGAUAACACUGACGCUCAGGCACGAAAGCGUGGGGAGCAAACAGG